rnacentral:rRNA from 1 species
GAUGAACGCUGGCGGCAUGCCUAAUACAUGCAAGUCGAACGAGAGGAAGGAAAGCUUGCUUUUCUGAAUCUAGUGGCGAACGGGUGAGUAACACGUAGGUAACCUGCCCAUGUGCCCGGGAUAACUUCUGGAAACGGAUGCUAAAACCGGAUAGGUAGCAGACAAGCAUUUGACUGCUAUUAAAGUGGCUAAGGCCAUGAACAUGGAUGGACCUGCGGUGCAUUAGCUAGUUGGUGAGGUAACGGCCCACCAAGGCGACGAUGCAUAGCCGGCCUGGGGGGGCGGACGGCCAAAUUGGGACUGGGAAACGGCCCAAACUCCUACGGGAGGCAGCAGUAGGGAAUUGUCGUCAAUGGGGGGAACCCUGAACGAGCAAUGCCGCGUGAGUGAGGAAGGUCUUCGGAUCGUAAAGCUCUGUUGUAAGAGAAAAACGACAUUCAUAGGGAAUGAUGAGUGAGUGAUGGUAUCUUACCAGAAAGUCACGGCUAACUACGUGCCAGCAGCCGCCGUAA